rnacentral:rRNA from 1 species
AUUGAACGCUGGCGGAAUGCUUUACACAUGCAAGUCGAACGGCAGCACGGGGGCAACCCUGGUGGCGAGUGGCGAACGGGUGAGUAAUACAUCGGAACGUGCCCAGUCGUGGGGGAUAACGUAGCGAAAGUUACGCUAAUACCGCAUACGAUCUACGGAUGAAAGCGGGGGACCGUAAGGCCUCGCGCGAUUGGAGCGGCCGAUGUCAGAUUAGGUGGUUGGUGAGGUAAAGGCUCACCAAGCCGACGAUCUGUAGCUGGUCUGAGAGGACGACCAGCCACACUGGGACUGAGACGCGGCCCAGACUCCUACGGGAGGCAGCAGUGGGGAAUUUUGGACAAUGGGCGCAAGCCUGAUCCAGCCAUUCCGCGUGCAGGACGAAGGCCUUCGGGUUGUAAACUGCUUUUGUACAGAACGAAAAGGUUUCUACUAAUACUAGGAGCUCAUGACGGUACUGUAAGAAUAAGCACCGGCUAACUACGUGCCAGCCGCCGCAGUAA